CCGUUAUGUUCACACUUUCCAACCAAAGGCGCCAUCAGAGACGCAGCUGUCGCCGGGGGGGGGGCCGCCGUACACCGUACACGCCCCCGGGCUCUGACAGCUACUUCAUGCUGUAACUGCACACUGACCGACCGUGCAUCUUGUUGGACCCGCAUUGUUUCCUUCCAUUUAGCCUUGAGGACAAAGAUAAACCUGUGAAAUAGUUUCAGGAUUCCUUCUGUCGAGCUUAAGUGAACGAAGGCGUCAUUCGUCCUCCUCCGCUGUAGCAACCUUUGUGACCGCGCGCGUGCGUGCAGAUAAAAAUAACACCUCCAUGUUUGUUUUGGAAGCUGAAGAUGGUUGUUUGUUUUUUUUUGUUUGUUUUGUUUUGUUUUGUUCGUCUCCGUCAUAAUUUAUUACUUAAUAAGACAGCUUUUUUGUUUGAGUGAGUUAAAUCGUUUUAAAGUUUUCUUCCCUUUUUCUAGCCCCAGUACAGAGAAGAUAAGCUAAGACGUAUGCCAGCCCGUGUCGGCCACCUUACCCUUGUCCGUCUCUUCGCCGUGUCUCUGAUUUCACACCUUCUGUUCAGACGAGUCGCUCUAACCUUCAGGCUGGAACAUACCGGUGUGUAAAUCCAUUCUCAGCUGUCGUCGCACCGUCUCCACGGCCGACGUCCUUUGUCUUCAAAGACAGGCUGAGUCAGGUGGCACGAACAAAGCAACGUCUGCCCACCUGUUGCCGUCUUAGGGGACAUGAGAUUGGGGAAAGUGAAAUACUUGAACAAAGCCAAAGUCAUUUUGAAAAGACCAUUUUGAUUAGACAACCUUUUCACAAUGCAUAUUCUAUUUUACUGAAUAAGACUGUAUAUAUGUUAAAAAAAAAUAAAUGUUUUGAGUUGGAACUGUUCACUUAAAGAAAAUGUUUGUGUGGCUAUUGCAAAAAUAAAUAAAUACAUUCUUAGAACAGUUAUAAGGGCUGUUGCGUUAAGAAUAAUGUCCCUCAUUGUCUUUAAUCAAAGAUGACUAUAUUUGUAAUUACGAAUCUUUCAGCUUUUUGAAUAAAUAAUAAAUAAUUAU